GGAACAAUGGCUUCAAACUACAGGAAAGGAGAUUCCACCUGAACAUCAGGAAGAACUUCCUGACUGUGAGGGCUGUUCGGCAGUGGAACUCUCUGCCCCGAACUGUGGUGGAGGCUCCUUCCUUGGAGGCUUUUAAGCAGAGGCUGGAUGGCCAUCUGUCGGGGGUGCUUUGAAUGAGCUUUUCCUGCUUCUUGCAGUGGGUUGGACUGGAUGGCCCAUGAGGUCUCUUUCAAUUCUACGAUUCUAUGAUUCUAUGAUUCUAUGAUCAUUUUAAAGGUAAUGUUAAAAUACUGAGUUAUGUAUUACUUCUAAAUGAAGAACACAAGUGUAGAAUAGAAAAUAGAAAAGUGCUGAUACAGGGAACUGAGCUUGUUUGCUAGCAAGGAUAUUGGAAGAAAUCCAUCUCCUCAAGCAGGACAAUCUCAUCAUAUUAAAAGUUAUGGAUUUCUUGCUUAAGCAUUCCACAUGAAAUGCAGGACUGUAGGAAAUUUGCCUCUGAUUAUUGAGAGAGUUUAAAAAACCUAAAAAGUCAGGAAAUCUAACAUUUCUUUAAUGUUUUUGCCUUCAUAUUGGUAUAUUCCCUGGAAUGAGUUCUUCAAUUGUACUGAUGGAUUAGUUUAGUAAGGCAGUACUAUUUACUUGCUUAGUAAGGCUCGCAUAUUACUAUGCAGUAUUCUGUACUGAGGAGCCCCGGUGGCGAAGUGUGUUAAAGCGCUGAGCUGCUGAACUUGCUGACCAAAAGGUUGCAGGUUCAAAUCCCGAGAGCGGAGUGAGCUGCUGUUAGCUCCAGCUUCUGCCAACCUAGCAAUUCGAAAACAUACCAGUGUGAGUAGAUCCGGUGGGAAGGUAACGGUGGUCCAUGCAGUCAUGCCGGCCACAUGACCUUGGAGGAGUCUAUGGACAACGCUGGCUCUUCGGCUUAGAAAUGGAGAUGAGCACCAACCCCCAGAGUCAAACAUGACUGGACUUAACAUCAGGGGAAACCUUUACCUUUACUUUAUUCUGUACUGAAGUAAGUGGAACAGAUUUAGGUUCAUGACGUGUGAUAGUUUUGCUAACUUUGAGAGUCGGCAUUGUAUAGUAGUUUGAGUGUUGUACUAUUGUUGAAAACAGGAGCUCUUUUGUAAGGAAAUCGUGUUCUUUGGCUGAACUGAAACCAUUCCCUCAUAUCUACUUUCUUUAUCGAGUUUCCUACUGCCUAAAUUUAGAUUGGAACUGUUUGGAAGAGGGUCCUAUCUUUCCUUUUCUUUCAACGAUAAGAAAACAUGCCUGGUGACUUCCAAUAUUUAAGAAUGUACUCCUGGUAUUGGUGUCCUUUCUGAUUUAUAGUGGCUCUAAUUGUGGGGUUUUCUAGGCAAGAUUUGUUCAGGUUUGUUUUCUAGGCAAGAUUUGCCUUCCUUUGAAGCUGAGAGAGUGUGACUUCCCCAGUAGUUUUCAUGACUAAGUGGCAAAGUCCGAUGCUCUACAUUCCAUUGCCUCUCUAAACAACUACUGCUGUAACAGUAAAUUUCAAAAUAACUCAUUCCACAACCCUAAAUGUAUGUGAGCAUUUGCUUUCCUGGAAGAGAAAAAGGUACUCUGCACAUGCUCGGUGGCAGUCAGUUAUCUGGACACUUCAGGACGGAAUACUAAAACUGAAGACAAAUUCUUGAGUUAAGUCCCAAUUACAUGUAUUCCCUAUGUAAAGGCAAAAGUGUGGGAGAAAAAAAAAAGAAAGCUGGGCCGUGACAAUGUGCCAGACUUCUACAUUUGCAGCACCCUGAGUUAUGAGUGGCAAAGAUUUGUCUAUUAAGAGCCAUUUUAACAAGCCAUCUUAUCCUUAUUCCAGCUUUACCUAAUGAUCCUUGGAUGUGUGCAUGUGUGAGAGUCUAGAUUUAUGCUCCUAACAUUGUAAAAAACUUCAGAUUGUUUGACCCUGUAAACACAAAAUUCAUGUAUCUCACCCUGGGACAAAUGCAUUCUUUUAAAAAGCAGCAUAUGGGCAGCCUUGGACUGAUGUUAGUUUAUUGUCACUGCUUGAUAACAUUUAAUGGAAAAGAUACAAGAGUGCCAAAGAAUUUUAAUUAUUUUUGUGAUAAAGUUAUAUGUUCGGCCUUGAAAAAGUGAAGAUAAUGCUGGGAUUCAUUAUUAUUCCCAGUGUGUUUAAACAGACGACACAGAAUGCAAACAAAAGCAGAUGAAAUUUGAAAAGUAUUAUCAAUAUUGCAGAUAGCAGAUGCCCUUUCCAAUCAGAACAAGAAUAUCUUCUAUAGCAACUUUAUGGUUGAGUAGUUUAUUCAUUUCUAUUAGAAGGUUGUACGUUUCUAAAAUAUGUAGAUGAUAUCUAGGAAACCAACCAACCAGUAGGGUCAUUUUGCUUGUUUUCCUAAAUUUAUUAUUUUCACUUCUGCAGGCUUGAUCUGAGGUGCAUUAACAUGGGAGAGAAAUCUUUUUGUGUGAGAAUUCUAUCUUAUAUAUUUGACCUUUCAUGUGUUCCACCAUGGUACGGGAAAGAAAACAGAAAGAGGUGUUUUAAUGUUCUCCUGUCAGAAUGCUGCAUUUAAAAUGAACUAGAUCUGAAUUGGGAAGAGGACUCUUCAUUCUCGAUUGUUGUUGAAUCAUAAUAUGUGAAAGAGAAAUGCAAAACCAAACAGAAAAGGACUGUACCAUUUGCGUGCCGUCUUGUACUGAGAUUUGACAACUGAGGAGAAGAAAUGACCACCAGAAGUGAAAAAUCCUGCUGAGUAGCUGUAAUGUUCAGGUACAGCCAUCUGUUAAUAUUUGUCAUUAUUUUAAAUGUCUGGGAUAGGUAUACUAAUACAGGAAAGAAAAAUGUGUGUAAAGACAUUUAAUCUAUAUAGAGUGCAAUGAAAUUCAAAGAACUGGAACAUCUGGUUAUGCUAAAUGAAGCUAAAAUACUGUUUUAAACUAUAAGUAACUUGCUACAAUGGAUAUGUGUAUAUUGUGGUUUGACUUUCAGAUGUGUGCUUCUUGAGUGGCUCUUUCUACUCUGCAGCUUGUGAGAUAAUAGUAAGCGGGAGAUGGAUCAUUGGAUGGUCAAUUCUUGUAUAAGAGGAAAGAGGAGAGGGAUAAAGCAAGGAGGGUGGAUGGAUGGAUGAUGAUAAUGCUAUGAAGCAGGACCCAUGGAAAUGCUCAGUUGUAUGCACCUACUGCAUCCUUCUGCAUGUACAGAGGCAGCCCUAGGUUUUUCGCUAUGGAAGCAAGCCUAGGGCCGUGCGCCC